GGGCCGGUAGCUCAGCCUGGGAUGAGCGCUGCCUUGGCAAGGCAGAGGCCCCGGGUUCAAAUCCCGGCCGGUCCACCA
rnacentral:tRNA from 1 species